GAUGAACGCUGGCGGCGUGCCUAAUACAUGCAAGUCGAGCGAACAGACGAGGAGCUUGCUCCUCUGACGCUAGCGGCGGACGGGUGAGUAACACGUGGAUAACCUACCUAUAAGACUGGGAUAACUUCGAGAAACCGUAGCUAAUACCGGAUAAUAUAUUGAACCGCAUGGUUCAAUAGUGAAAGAUGGUUUUGUUGUCACUUAUAGAUGGCUCCACGCCGCAUUAGCUAGUUGGUACGGUAACGGCUUACCAAGGCAACGAUGCGUAGCCGACCUGAGAGGGUGAUCGCCCACACUGGCACUGAGCCACCGUCCAGGCUCCUACGGGAGGCAGCAGUAGGUAAUCUUCCGCAAUGUGCGAAAGCUUGACGGAGCAACGCCGCGUGACUGAUGAAGGUCUUCGGAUCGUAAAACUCUGUUAUUAGGGAAGCACAAAUGUGUAAGUGACUAUGCACCUAUUGACGGUACCUAAUCAGAAAGCCACGGCUAACUACGUG
rnacentral:rRNA from 1 species